rnacentral:lncRNA from 1 species
CUGUUUUGUACCAUAAAAUAUAUGAGGCUGCUGACAUUGCAUAUUAAUUAGCUGAUCCUUUCCUUUCCAAAUUAAGAGCUCAGUUUUGUAUUACUUACACGGAUGUAAAACUUAGCUCUGUGGUUUUGGAUGCAUCGAGAGCUCAUUCACUAAAUAUUUUUGGAGCACUUAGUAGUUUCCAGGAUCUUCCAGGCUUGGCAAGGAAUGAGAAUCCAGCCUAAGGAGACAGUCAGAAGUGCUCACCAAGAUUCAGAGGUUCUUCAUUGCCUUACCAUAUUUGUAAGUCACAAACUGGAAGCUACCACAGGGUCCAGCCUUAUGAGAGUGGUGCAGUCAAUCCCAGAUCUUCCAUAUGACAGGGAGCUGGUCAUCCUUCAAAGUGCUGCUUACUAAGAUGACAAUGAGACUGGAAAAUUCUCAUUAAAUAAACAAAUGGCUGGGUAAGUGCUUACUGCAUGGUGUAUUCAUGUUAGUAGAGAAAUAUCUACAAAAUACGCUCGUGGUAAACUCUAUAAAUCAUGAAAAUGUAAAACUGCAAGAAAUCUCAAGGUCAUCGUUUCAAAAUGCAUGCUAUAGUUGAGCAAAAGAAAAAAUCAGUGAAGACUAAGAGGCUGAAGAGUUCCUCAUUUAAGCUGUGACAUUUGAUCCUAUUAGUGGGAAAAGACCUGAACUGAGAGGACCUGUGUCCUCGCCCCUGGUUUUGUUGCUGUUGCUUUGCUGGGUGACCUUGGAGACACCAUUGAACGUCUCUUGGCUCAGCUUUUUCACGGUUAAAUGAGACAGUUGGUAAUUCCUUGUUUUUCAGAGUUUGCAUGGUUUGGAUGCCAUUGGCUCUUCCUUAUAGCAGGGAGUUUUUCAGCUGCAAAGAGCGGUGGAGUUCCUCUCUCCCAGCCCACUCAUAAUUCGGCUUAUGUGCAGAAGGCAGAAGACCUUCCCAAGGGUACACAAUGCUUCUGUAAAUAGCAGUUUAUAGACUUCAGCAGAAGAACCAGAAGCAAACAGAGGAAGUGAAAAUGACCACUAGAAGAAAAACUGAUGACAGAAAAACAAAAUCAAUUAGACUUUAUCUUUAAAAAAAUCAACUAUGACUUUAAUUGAUUUCAAAUAAAAUAUUUCGAUCUUUAUGAGAUACAUUAGAUCGUUGAAAGUCAUGCUUACA